rnacentral:lncRNA from 1 species
GGCUGCCGAACCCUGCCCCCGAAAGUUGGACUUUCGGCUCUGGAUGGGAGUUUCGGCCGCCGAACCUGCUACCGAACAUGCAUGAGUUUCGGAUCUGGAAGGCACUUUCGGCCGUCGAAGGUGCCGCCGAAGGUGCAUGACUUUCGGCUCUGGAGGGACUUUCGGCCGCCGAACCUACCGCCGAAAGUGCCCUGUUCAGCCUUCCUUUCAUGUUUUCUAUGAUUGUUU